rnacentral:rRNA from 1 species
AUUGAACGCUGGCGGCAGGCUUAACACAUGCAAGUCGAGCGGUAGCACAAGAGAGCUUGCUCUCUGGGUGACGAGCGGCGGACGGGUGAGUAAUGUCUGGGAAACUGCCUGAUGGAGGGGGAUAACUACUGGAAACGGUAGCUAAUACCGCAUAACGUCGCAAGACCAAAGAGGGGGACCUUCGGGCCUCUUGCCAUCAGAUGUGCCCAGAUGGGAUUAGCUAGUAGGUGGGGUAAUGGCUCACCUAGGCGACGAUCCCUAGCUGGUCUGAGAGGAUGACCAGCCACACUGGAACUGAGACACGGUCCAGACUCCUACGGGAGGCAGCAGUGGGGAAUAUUGCACAAUGGGCGCAAGCCUGAUGCAGCCAUGCCGCGUGUGUGAAGAAGGCCUUCGGGUUGUAAAGCACGUUCAGCGAGGAGGAAGGUGGUGAACUUAAUACGUUCAUCAAUUGACGUUACUCGCAGAAGAAGCACCGGCUAACUCCGUG